CUCCUCUUCCUCUUCUUCUCUUCUUCUUCUUCUCUUCUUUUUCUUCUUCUCUCCCUCUCUCAUGCAAGUCGGAAACGACGCGACUUUUCGUCAACGACACGCCUGAAAUCCCCGUCUUUCUCUCCUUCAGUCGACGCCACCACCCAACACCCUUUGCACCGCUGAACUCAUCGAUGAAUCUCAGCCACCACAUGCGGUAGCUCGCUGGAGAUCAAGCACAUCGUGUUUCAUUUGGUUUUAACUCGUGGAUGAAUACUACUUAAAGUCUAGCGGUUCAAAAUUCAUAAAAGAUGUCAAAAUUCCUUUGCUUUGCAUCCAGGAAAAUCCAAACUACUGUAUAUUAAUAGUAACACCCAAAGGUGGGCAUCUAGGGUGGGUUACAGGGCCCGGUGCUCCCUUUCGGUUUUCCAUGGAUCGAUCCACUCAUGAUCGAUUUCCUCAUGUAUUUGGAAAACCAAAAAUUCAAAGCCUCAGCUUCUUCUACAGGUUUAACAACGCAGAGGUUCCAAUGGAGCUGGCAAAGUUCAUGAAAUUUUCUUCAAAGAAGCUAAUCAGAGUCAUCAAAAUACAUUGGCUGGUUUUAGAAAUGAAGGAUUUGACCAUGGUUCAAGCAACAAAGAAUAUUUUUAGAGGUGAAGGUUUAUCGGUUGGUUGUUUAUGCUUGUACAGAAAAUCAUGUUAUAUGUAUUAUGAUGGUAUUUACACUGGUUUUGAUUAAGAGUUGUAAUUUCAUACUUGUAAAUUGUUCAAACUUGAUUGGAAAUGUAC